AGUUUGAGACUCCAAUGACUGAUGACGAUAGAAUCUGACUUUGGAGACCUGGAGUUUGCUUCUUGCUAGGUGAUUUAUUCACCACUGUCCAGUUAUUGCUCUUUUUAUCUACUUUAUGUGGAGUAGCAGCAAAUUUUCUUUGAGUAUUAAAUGCCUUCCCCUCCACAUGUACUACUGUAGUCCUAGUAUCAGAAGAAUUUUCAAUUUGUUCACCAGGUACAACAGUAGGUCGUUUCCCCUGCAUAGCAGAUAUGUUCUCUUUCUCAUGGACAGACUGUUGUACAUUGUCUUCUCCAGCUUUUACAUUUUUCACAUCUUGAAGUUCAGAAUUUGGUGCAGCAUCUACCUUCAAUUGCCUAGCUACUUUAACAGUUGGAUCAAUAGUUGGUCGAUCUACAGUAUGAGUCAUUGCAUCAGUAUGCAAAACUACAGCUGAAUUUGCCAUAUUCCCCAACUUGGAAUAUGGCAAGAGGGGUUGCUUUGAUGGUAAGCAACCCCCACUUCCAACUGAGAGGUUGUGAGUUCGAGUNNNNNNNNNNNNNNNNNNNNNNNNNNNNNNNNNNNNNNNNNNNNNNNNNNNNNNNNNNNNNNNNNNNNNNNNNNNNNNNNNNNNNNNNNNNNNNNNNNNNNNNNNNNNNNNNNNNUAUUUGGAAAUAGCCUCUCUACCCCAGGGUAGAGGUAAGGUCUGCGUACAUACCACCCUCUCCAGACUCCACUAUGUGGCAUUAUUCUAGGUUGUUGUUGUUCUUGAUGUUGUUGUACACCUAGUACCCUGAGCCAGAGUACCCUGCUAAAACCCCUGCUCCCUUUCAGCUUCAUCAUACUCCAACACAUCUUCCUGUAGUUGCAACAGUACAUAAACUUUUCCUUGUUCUUAAACCUAUCAUGCAGAUGGUACUACUUGCAGCUGAGAAUAGUUACUACUUGCAGAUGGUAUUUGUUAGGAUGAUUUUGGCAUGAGUUAGUUACUAGUCAAUGUGUAACUUAGCUCCUUGAGUAGUCGGUUACAACGUUAUUACGAUUGUACAUACAACUACCUCUAAUGUUAUAAAAUAUGUUAGCUUUUUAUAAUUUCUCUGUCAUUUCCAAGUUAUAUGCAUUUGAAGAACUAUUUCUUCGGUUGAAUUCUAGCAAAGACAUGUGUUCUUUUAGAAUGAAUGAGCUAACAUAAUAUUUAUGUGAAUAGGGUCUUGAAUUCUCUUUUUGUAGUAGUGCUGAAUUGAGCAAGGAGGAGCAGUUUAAGAAAAAAGAAUGUGUGUUAGAAAGUAGUUAAAUAACUUGGUCAUAAUUUUAGCUUUAAGGAUGGGAUGCAAUUUAAAGCAUAAAUUGAUCGGGUCGGGUAGUAUCUUUAACGGCUCUUCCGAUAGCUUCGAUCUUUUACCUUUUUUAGCACCCGUUUCUUUAAUUUAAUAAGAGUUAUGUUGAUAUGACUAAUCAAUUCUGGGCUGCUUAUAAGAAAUGUUAACUUUUUCAUAUAUUGGACUCAUAAUAGUUACUACUAGUUAAUCGUUAUAAGAUUUAUGCACUCUUCACUUGAGACACAAUGUUAUCGAAGUGGCAUUUAUUUGGACAUUAUUAGAAAAAUUACAUUUGAUUUGCAGAAAAAGUUAAAAGGGGACCACAGUCUGAUGCUGAUAUCUUUGCGGAGACACAUAAGAAAGAGAAGAAAGAUGGUUUAAGACUAUUUUCAGAGUUUUUAGCGAAAGUUGUCCCUUUUUUUUUGGCGACCGCUAGGCAAAGCCUAUGGUUAAGAUUUUAUUAAUAACAGAAAAUUAAAAUUACAAUAUGAAAAACAUGAUCAUGCAGAUGAAAUUUGAUCGUUCCCGAGUUUAUAAUUUACUCUGUCAUGAUGUUACAUUUGAGGAAAUUAAGACGGUUGAAUAAAGUUAUGAUGAAGCGACGGGUGUCUUCGUAAUUCAUGCUUUGUUAUUUGUUCUUUGAGUCAACUGUUUUUGUUUUGCGAUUCUCAUUGGGAAGCGUCUUAUUUUUCCGAUAGCAUCUUUACAUUGAGAUAACUGUUUUUGUUUUGCGAUUCUCAUUGGGGGGCGUCUUAUGUUUCCUUCUUCUGUCACCCUGCCGUCCCAGCUUCUAUCUCUUUGACGACAUUUCUUAUUUGUUUUGCUGUGCAUUGGUGAUAAAUCGCCUUUUCUUACAGCAUCUUUACGACAUUGCAUUAACAUCUCUUCUUCCUCCCCUUCUUCAUAUGUAUGUGUUGCUUCCUUAUUAUUCUGGAACUGUCUUUGUUCUGAAGAUAUUUGCAUAGUAGAUGAUUCAUACUGAUCUUGUCGCUGUCCAGUAUGUAUAGGUGUAAUAUGCUUUUGUCCACUGUUUUGCUGUACUGUUUUUUUUACAGUAGUUGAAGAUUCAACCACGAGUUGGAUCACGUUUUUUGCAACUAUCCAUUACAAAACAAAGAAUUCCGUUCUUACAAGUAAAUACUCAAGACCCAACUUCGGUCGCCCUGUCGUCCCAGCUUCUAUCUCUUUGACGACAUUUCUUAUUUGUUUUGUUGUGCAUUGGUGAUAAAUCGCCUUUUCUUGCAGCAUCUUUACAACAUUGCAUUAACAUCUCUUCUUCCUCUCCUUCUUCAUAUGUAUGCGUUGCUUCCUUAUCAUUCGGGAACUGUCUUUGUUCUGAAGAUACUUGCAUAGUAGAUGAUUCAUACUGAUCUUGUCGCUGUCCAAUGUGUAUAGGUGUAAUCUGCUUUUGUCCACUGUUUUGCUGUACUGUUUUUUUUUUCCAGCAGUUGAAGAUUCACCCACGAGUUGGAUCACACUUUUGUGCUGUUUCUUUUUGGUCGUUCUUUGUAGUUGCUAUCCUUGAAUCAUCUGUUGUUGUAUUGAACUUUGGGUUGUAAGCUGGAGCAUUAUGAUUUAACAAGUGGUUUGAGUUUGCCCCAUAUGGAUUUUUUGCAUUCCAGAUUACAAUUGCAGCCUUUUCUUUAGAAUACAAGUCUUCUGUUGAGCUGUCGUAAUCACCUUCUUGAUCUUCCUCUGCUGACGAAGAACCAGUAGAGCCUUCUUCCCAACUCUCUUCAUCAUCACAUUGUCGUUGGUCCCAAAGUUUCGAUUUAAUUACCAACUCCCUCAUGUUAGCUAAAACUAGUUGUUUGUUCUCUCCAUUGAAUAUUAAAAAAUCUUCGUGAUCCUUGUUCUCUAUAUAUGUAUAGGGAAAGGUAGGAUAACUUUUGACAGUCUGAAUCUUCCCUCCAGCAACCAUUCCCUGUGAUCCUUGUUCUCUAUAUAUCUACAGGGAAAGGUAGGAUAACUUUUGACUGCCUGUAUCUUCCCUCCAGCAACCAUUCCGGAUGAAUUGGAGCUUAAUAUUAGAGCUGUAUUUUCCUCUGCGAUCUGCUUGCUUUGUUUGAAACCAACUGGCUGAUACGAUAUAUUCUCAGUGUGAUCUUUGUCCAGUGCAUCCCUGUUUUUUCCAAUUGUUUGAGCAGGCAUAACAACAUUGUCAACCAUCUGUCUAGACAGCUGCUGCUUAGUCAGUUCUUCAGAUUUCCAGUUCGAUUUCAGUUUUUCAGAUUCUGCAUCAACUGAACCUUAGUUCUGCAUGUUGUUCCGCUGCUGCUUUCCUUCAAAACCAUUCAUCUUCCAAUCUUGUGCAUACUGAUUGUGAACUGGAAGGUCAGUAUGAUUAGUAGCAGGUUCAUUGACCUUAUUGUGUAUCAAAAUAUGUUGUUUAGACAGUAAAGGUUGACUCUUGUUUGCAUUGUGAUGUGCAGCCUCAGCAGAUGAAGCAGCCUAAGCAGAUGCAGUAUAACUUUGAUCCUUCUCAGCAAACUGUCCAUCGUCUUCUCUGGCAAUUGCAAGCGCGACAAAAGAGUUGGAGCUUGAUGCUAUAACUGGACUGUUAUCAGUAAUUUGUGAAUUGACAUUAAUUUCCAAUUUGUCAUUACUGAUUUGCCUCGUUGACCAGUUGUUUCUUUCACUGUUUUGUCCAUUUGCUGUUAAGUUCAAACUAUUUUGUUGAACCAUCUCAGUCUGGAGACUUGAAAUCUGUCGAGAGGAAUUUUGUAAACUGUGAAAAUCUGAAGGAUGUGC
rnacentral:lncRNA from 1 species